rnacentral:lncRNA from 1 species
AUGGUUCUAAACUGUUUCCAUGAUGGCUCCAAAUCCUACAAAUUAUCCUUGUUUCACAAGUAAUUAACACCUAUUAAUUCUAUUCUGAAUACUAAUUGACUGACUGGCUAUUUUUUUUUGUUCAGACUUUCUGUUAAUAAAUACCAUUAAAAAUAGGAAGUAGUAAACAUUAUUUUAGUAUUCAGUAAUGGAAUGUACUGCUAACAAGGGCCGUAACUAAGCCAAAAGCACAUCAAAUAAACUGAAUAAACAUUGUUUGCUGUAUAAUUUUGGCAUAAUUUAUAUACAUAUAUUAUUAUUUCUGCUUUGAAUGCUGUAAUGAUUUUGAAUUGUGAAGGUCAGGAAUGCGGUUUGAUGGUGACACGUGAUAACAUCUUGUGUAGCCCAGCCCGUGGACUCUUGUCCCCAAUACAAUCAAAUCACAAGUAAUAUAAACACAAGUGUCGGAUGAUAUUAAUGUAUAGCAUAACAUCAUAGUGCCAUCCAACUCGAAGAUGAAAGGUCAAAUUGUCAGAGACAGUAUUUAAGCUAGCAUAGGCCUGUCGGGGUCAGAUAGAAAUUGUCGUCGAUAAAGGAACAAUUGCCAUAAAAAUAAAUUGUCGCUGGAAAUAAAAAUUGUCAUCAAAAGUAGAAUUUUGGGGUUGUGAAGGCAUUAGCAUCCAAAAGAGAAGAACCAGCAGCAAGAUAAUAAAGUGAUCAGGAGAUCCAUUGCUUAUCCUGAUGAAAAUCUCCAGGAAGAUUACAGAUAUACCUCACUUGUUCUGGAGAAAACAUUCAUUGUCCGCUAUAAACAAGGGCCUUCUAAUAGUCGUCAGUUAUCUGACCAUCUCUCUGUUUCUACCGCUGUCAUCAUCUUUUGAUCAGCAAGACAUCAAAAUCAUUCUCUCUUCUGUUAUUCCUCUACCAGUGAGCUGGGAUUUUAUUAUUUACCUUAUAUUUUUCCUCUGAAAUAUAUUGUCAGUUGAGUUUGUGUAAAGAACUCUUUUGUUAACUCUUAUGUGGUAAUAAAUGAAAGCUUAGUGUUACUACCUGUAGUCUCUGAGUC